rnacentral:lncRNA from 1 species
CUAAAGAGUUAAAUGUGGGUUAAGAGUCAUUUUGAAAGACAACUUGACCUUGAUCAAGAUUUCUAUAGGAUUAGUGAUAAUAGCAGAUAGACUUGUCAAUUGUUCUAAUACUUCAAAACAAACAAGAAAAAAAUAAACUUUUGAAGAAAAUUAUUUCCAGUGAUAAAACAUGGUAUUACCAAUGAAAUUUAGAAAUUUAGCAAAACAGAAAUAAAUCUCUUAACAAGUAUAAUAAUACGC